rnacentral:antisense_RNA from 2 species
AGUUAUGGCGGCUGUGCGUGGGAGACCUUCGGGUCUGCCGGUUUCUUUGCUCUCCCGGUUUACCACCCUGCGUACAGCUGCCACCCAU